GACGAACGCUGGCGGCGUGCCUAAUACAUGCAAGUUGAGCGCUGAAGGUUGGUACUUGUACCAACUGGAUGAGCAGCGAACGGGUGAGUAACGCGUGGGGAAUCUGCCUUUGAGCGGGGGACAACUUUUGGAAACGAAUGCUAAUACCGCAUAAAAACUUUAAACACAAGUUUUAAGUUUGAAAGAUGCAAUUGCAUCACUCAAAGAUGAUCCCGCGUUGUAUUAGCUAGUUGGUGAGGUAAAGGCUCACCAAGGCGAUGGUACAUAGCCGACCUGAGAGGGGGAUCGGCCACCAUGGGACUGAGAACAGGCCCAAACCCCUACGGGAGGCCGCAGUAGGGAAACUUCGGCAAUGGACGAAAGUCUGACCGAGCAACGCCGCGUGAGUGAAGAAGGUUUUCGGAACGUAAAACCCUGUUGAUAGGGGAGAACGUUGGUGGGAGUGGAAAGCUCAUCAAGUGACGGUAACUACCCAGAAAGCGACGGCUAACUACGUG
rnacentral:rRNA from 1 species